UACGGAGGGGGCAAGCGUUGUUCGGAAUUACUGGGCGUAAAGCGUGCGCAGGCGGUUUUGUAAGCCAGAUGUGAAAUCCCCGGGCUUAACCUGGGAAUGGCAUUUGGGACUGCAAGGCUUGAGUUUGGCAGAGGAGACUGGAAUUCCUGGUGUAGCAGUGAAAUGCGUAGAUAUCAGGAGGAAUACCGAUGGCGAAGGCAGGUCUCUGGGCUGAAACUGACGCUCAUGCACGAAAGCGUGGGGAGCAAACAGG
rnacentral:rRNA from 1 species